GAGUUUGAUCUUGGCUCAGGAUGAACGCUAGCGGCAGGCUUAACACAUGCAAGUCGAGGGGUAUAGGUUUUCGGACCUAGAGACCGGCGCACGGGUGCGUAACGCGUAUGCAAUCUACCUUUUACAGAGGGAUAGCCCAGAGAAAUUUGGAUUAAUACCUCAUAGUAUUAUUGAGUGGCAUCAUUUAAUAAUUAAAGUUUCAACGGUAAAGAUGAGCAUGCGUCCCAUUAGCUAGAUGGUAAGGUAACGGCUUACCAUGGCGACGAUGGGUAGGGGUCCUGAGAGGGAGAUCCCCCACACUGGUACUGAGACACGGACCAGACUCCUACGGGAGGCAGCAGUGAGGAAUAUUGGUCAAUGGGCGCAAGCCUGAACCAGCCAUGCCGCGUGCAGGAUGACGGUCCUAUGGAUUGUAAACUGCUUUUGUACAGGAAGAAACAGUUCUACGUGUAGAACCUUGACGGUACUGUAAGAAUAAGGAUCGGCUAACUCCGUGCCAGCCGCCGCGGUAAC
rnacentral:rRNA from 1 species